AACGGCCCCUCCCGGCCCUGGGGCGCACGGGCCCCUCCCUCACCCUCCGCGGCCCCACCUCCUUCCUGUCACCUCUGCCCCGCCCCCAGUCACGUGAGGCCCGGCGACAGCGGCCGAGGCUUCCCAGGACCGGGCUGGCCCGCGAGGGAAACUGAGGCCCGGGAUCCCGACGGGGUGGAGGGGGGGAAGCUCAGGGUCCCGGCGGCCGCGCUGGGCCUGAAGCCCCCAUAGGAACGGAGCCAGGUGCCCUGGGGCCGCUCGCCCGCUGGCUCGGCGUGGGUCCUUUCCCAGUCUCGCUGGUCGGGUUUUGGCUGCUGUUCGCCCCACACCUCGUGCGCCACCAGGUCCCCGCCUUCGCGCUACCCUCAGUGCCCUUGAGACAUUCAGGAUUGGUGGUUCAGUGAUAGAAUUCUCACCUUCGACGUGGGAGACCCAGGUUCCUCAGACAUCUCAAAUUCAACAUGUGCAAGACUACACUCGCCUGCCUCAUUCAUCUCCAGUUAUGUGAAUGGCAACUCCUUGGUUCCUCUUGCUCAGGCCAAAAACCUUGGCAUCAUCCUUGACUUCCAUCUUUCUUACUCCAUAUCCAAGCCAUCAGAAAACACUGCCGUUCUACCUUCAAAUUAUAUCUGAAAUCCAACCACUUCUCAUCACUCCCACCCCAAACAACCUGAUCCAGGCCACUGUCAUCUUUCCCCUGGAUAGAUGCACCAACCUCCUAAUGGUGUCCCAGCUUCUGAUCUUGUCCCUCUACAAUCUCUUCUCAACAUUGCAGCCAAAACGAUCCUUUCCAAAUGGAAGACAGACCAUGUCAACGUCUCUGACUGAAAACCUCCAUUUUCUCAGAAUAAAAGUCAAAACAUUUUCAGUUGUCAAAAAGUUCUUCAUUAUCAUCCCCUGCCCCCGCUCGCCCCACUGACAGCUUCUACUACACAAUAGGAUGCAUAUUGUUUAUUUAACACCCCGUGGCAUUUGCUCUUGCAAUUCACCCCAUGGCGUUUGCUCUUGCAGUUCCCGUUGCCUGGAAUACUUAUCCCCUAAAUACCAGCUGCUCCACAGGAGGAAACACCUGGCAAUCAGCUCCCAUAAAGAUUCUGACCCAUUGCCAUCAGUCCAUUCCAACUCAUAACAGCCCUAUAGGACAGAGUAGAACUGCCCCAUGGGGUUUCCAAGGAGCAGCUGGUGGAUUUGAACCACUGACCUUUUGGUUAGCAGCUGAGUUCUUAAUCACUGCACUACCAAAACAAACAAACAAGAAAACAACAAAAAAAAAACAUUGCCAUUGAGUCGGUUCUGACUCAUAGUGACCUUAUAGCCACCAAGGCCUCCCAUAAAGAUUACAGCCUAGGAAACCCUAUGGGGGCUGCUCUGUCCUAUAGGGUCACUGUGAAUUCAAAUCGACUAGAAAGCACACGACAAAAAAUACAACCAGGAGUCCCUGGGUGGUGCAAACUGUUAAUGUGCUCAACUGCUAACUGAAACACUGGAGGCCUGAGUCCACCCAGAGACUCCUCAGAAGACAGUCCUGGUGAUUAGUUCCCAAACAUCAGCCAUGGAAAACCCUGUGGAGCACAGUCCUAUUCUGACACACGUGGGGUCACCAUGAAUCAGAACCGACUCACUGGCAGCUGGAUCAAUACCAGCAGGGCUCACUCUCAUUUCUUUAAUGUCUCUCACUUCUUUCAGGUCUCUGUUCAAGGCCAUUUCCUUAGGGGUGUCUUCCCUGACUGCCAUUGUAAGUUAGCAAUCCCCUUUAUUCCCCUUCCCAAGCUCCCUAUUCCUCUUCCGCUGUUGGAUUUUUCUCCUUCUGGCACCCUGUGUACUUAAAUUGUUUAUCUGUCCUCCCCAUUAGACCACAAGUUCCAUGAAAGAACAUCAUUUCGUUCACUGCUGCAUCCUUCAUGCUUAGAACAAUGCCUGACACAAAGUAGGCACUCAGUAGUUGCCAAGUACAUAAUCAGAAGGAAACUGGACUCCACAGGGCAAGACUCUCCGUUUUAGUAAGCCAGAGUCAGAACUCCAGGCUCUAGGAACUGGGGUAUUUAAGAAAGACAUUGAAACAUAGGAGUUGAUUACAGGAGCUUGAUAAAAAAGAUGGAGUCAGGAGUCCAACUCUUAGAAACAGAACAGGUUCAGGCAGGAUGGCAAUAAGACCCAGGUGAUACUGAGCCUCUCAGCUACUGGUUUCUUAUUGUUGCACAGCCUGUAAGUAUAACUGACCCCAGAGAAUGGGAAUGGGUAAAGCCUUUACAUAGGAAAUUAUUAGGCAUGCCUUAGAAAAUAGAAAUGCAGGUCCAUCCUGAUACUGUCUAACUUUAGGAUGCUUUAUUAACACAGCAGCCCAGAGUAGUACCAUCCUCAAUUACUUCUUAUUCUUCUACUUUCCUAAACAUUCCUUCAUAAUCUCCCCCAUGACCUUCUUCCUCUCAGUGUAUCCCUUACAUUUUGGAGCUUCUUAACCUGUUGCUGUCGAGUCAGCUCUGACUCAUGGCAACCCGAUAUGUGACAGAGUAUAACUACGCUUCAUAGGCUUUUCAAUGGAUGACUUUUUGGAAGUAGAUUGCCAGGCCUUUCUUCCGAGGCACCCCGAGGGGACUUGAACCUCCAGCCUUCUGGGUAGCAGCUAAGAGUACUAACCUUUGUACCACCCAGCUUCUUAGGCUUAUAUUAUUUGCCCUCUUCUCUAUUUCUACACACUAUUUCUAGAUGACCUUAUUCACUAUCAUGUUUUCAACUAUCAUCUAUAUGCUAAUGUUUUCCAAAUCCAUCUCUAGUCCCGAGAUCCAAACUCAUAUUUCCAACUGCCUAUUAAAUAGCUAGACCUGGGUGUCCCUCAGACACUUCAACUCAAUAUGUCCGUACCUGAAGUUACCGUCUUCCCCCGAACCUGCUCUUCUUCCUUAGCACUUUAUCUGAGCUAAUGGCCUCAUCACACACCAGUUUCUCAAGCUAGAAACAUGAGUCAUCCCCUUCCUCCUUCUCUUUUGCCAUCCAAGUACAAUUGGUUACUAAAUCAAGUCAAUCCUACUCCAGAAUGUUUGCUCAAAUGUGGUGUCUUCAAUCCUUCUCUUCCACCUGUGCCUUAGCUCUCAAUCUCUUCUCUAUCCUUCCCUCUGGCAUAGGCUCUUAGCAAGUCUCCCUAUCAGUUUAUCUUCUGAAUACCCUCCCUGUUAUAGUCCCCCCAAACAGGCAAACAAACAAAAAACAACUAUGAUCCUGUCACAACAUCCUCAUCAAUAAACAGCUCCAUAGCCCCCACAGUAUGAAGUCCAAACUUGCUAGUGGACAGUACCCUUCAGAACUUAUUUGCAGCUUGCCUCUUUACCUUUAUCUUAUGUCACCUUCCCAUACUACCAGAUCCUCUGAAUCAGCCAUGCCAUUUCAUAGCUCUGUGCCUUUGCACACGCUGUUUCUACAUCCUGGAAUUCCCUUCCCCUCUUUUAACAUAGCUGAUGCUUCCUUUCUUGGAAGAAGUACAACCAGAAUGCUCUGUAGAAGCAAGGGUGGCAAGACUAUAUCUUACGUACUUUGGCUAUGUUGUCAGUAGAGAUCAGUCUCUGGAGAAGGAAAUCACACUUGGUAAAGUACAGGGUCAAUGAAAAAAAGGAAGACCCUUAAUGACAUGCAUUGACACAGUGGCUACAACAAUGGGCUCAAGCAUAACAACGUUUGUGGGCAUAACAUAGGACCGGGCAGUGUUUCAUUCUAUUAUACACAGGGUCGUUAUGAGUUGAAACUGACUGGAUGGCAUGUAACAACAACGCUUCCUUAA